UACGUGUGGUCCGAGCGUUGUCCGGAAUGAUUGGGCGUAAAGGGUGCGUAGGCGGGCACAUAAGUCAGGUGUGAAAACCCCGGGCUCAACCUGGGAAGUGCGCUUGAAACUAUGUGUCUCGAGACUGUCAGGGGUAAGCGGAAUUCCCGGAGUAGCGGUGAAAUGCGUAGAUAUCGGGAAGAACACCGGUGGCGAAGGCGGCUUACUGGGACAGAACUGACGCUGAGGCACGAAGGCGUGGGGAGCAAACAGG
rnacentral:rRNA from 1 species